rnacentral:misc_RNA from 1 species
AAGUACGUUGCUGCUGAAAUGUGAAGGAGCACAAGGUUUGUACAAAGAGAAUGUGCAAGAGAUUAAAGGUAGCUCAGAAGCUCAUAAUUAAAUGGAACAUGGAAAAGGACUUUGUACUUAAUAUAACAAUUCACAGCGCUAUUCCAUCCUAGCUACCACCAAAAUCUACAUAGUGUUUUUGUCAGCUGUUGAUCACUUGAGUCCUCAUUAUUUCAUUACUAAUACUGCACCAUUAAAUAGCUAGUGCCUUGAUUCGGUGAGCGCCAAUGUUUCUUGAUUGUGAACAUUUUUCUACUGUCAUUAACCAAGGAAUGGACUCUAAAAGUGUGAAGAGAAUGACGUAAUUAAUGAUCUAAUUAGUGUAUACGAAUUGCGGCCCUUUUUCAUUACGGAGGAAAGGUUGGGAGGUGCAAUAAAUAUCUCCCUCUGAGCCUUCCAGAGUACAUAGCAGCAGAUCAUUAAUCAUUAUAUAAUCUUUAUCUUAAAUUAUUAGUAAAAUGAGAGAAUGAAGCUGUUGCGAUUUUGACGUCGUCGACACCACAUUUGAUGAUGAUAAAGGAUUUCCUUCCUCCAAGCAUGGAAUUUCGAGUAUUAUGAAGAAAAAUACUCAUUUUUUACAAACACUCUUUUGGCUUUGUCACUUUAUCCUUUGGGAUUCGGGAGAGUCGCUUCUAUGUCCCAAUCCUUGGUCACUGACAAAUGCAUCCAGCUUCUACCUUGGGAAUUGUACCUUGGAUCCGGAUCUCCAGUCAUAUUGGAAUGUGGGCGGUGAUUUUCUUAGAGAGCUCCAUGUCUUUGGGCCUCUUCAUCCUAGUCCUUCAGAAUUGGACCUUUCCUCCAUAGCCAAAGCCUUUCCUAACCUACGUAAACUCUUCAUCAACGACAUUCCUUCCCUUUUACGAACGACAUUCACGGAUAAUGAUGCCAAGUUUCCUGUACUCAGUAUUUUGAACUUAAAUAAUAACCCAUCCCUCACUGAAAUAUGCCCUUCCAUCUUUCAAAGUACGAAAAUACUCGCUUUUUCAAACCUUAGUUCAACAUCUCUUACGCAUUUCCCAUUCCUGAAUAUUCCAUACAUAAAUUUUCAUACUGACCUAAAUGACACCAAAAUUCAAUGUCAUUGCCAUUUGAAAAGUUUAUCCUGGAUGAUGAAGGAAGACCGUAUCGCAGACUUUAAUUGCAUAAGAAAUAAUGUCAAACUUCCCCUUGCGUCCCUCAAUUGUAGUAAUAAAGAAAGGGGGAUGAUGAUGUCUUUACAAACGUUAGUGAAGCCUGAACCAACAUAUAUCCAAAGGGUUUGGAGCAGCAUGCGGCUCGAUUGUAAAGUCAAAGGGGCCGAUGUCAUUUCUUGGGUCGUAAACUCAUUCUAUGAAAAUGAACCAAGAGUGUACAGAACUUAUGUUGGCUAUAAAAUACCAGGCUGUCGUGUGAAGGUGAAUGGUAACCGUUGUGGAGUGCUGACAGUAUCUGAUAGCCUUGCUUCUAAUGAAGUUGUAAUUAAUUAUGAUAAGCGUAUUACAACUAUGCCCAAUGGUUCCCUUCUCAUAAGAGAGUUUGGUUGGAGUGAUAGGGGUAUCUAUAGCUGUCAUGCUACCAAUGCUUGGGAAGAAGAACAAAAUUAUGAGACAAUUGUCAAUCUAAAUCCUGAUUAUCGCUCUACUUUGUACUAUUGGAGUCUUAUGUAUGGUUUUAUUUCUGCGGCAGGAUUUCUUAUUUUCACGCUGGUCAUUAAAUUGAUUUAUUUCUUACUUCAAAAUUAUGGAUGUUGUUUAUGCUGUUGUUGUUGUAAAGAUCAAUUACCUCCAAAGGCUAAAAAAUUAAAAACUGCCAUAGACUCCAUUGAAACCUAUCGGGAUCAACAAUUAGAAAAGUUGCGAGAAAAUUACACACAGCAGAGCGAUUGGAUUCGUCAAAAUUGUACUGUACAAAUGGAAAGGGUAAGAGACAAUUAUAGCAGCCAAGUUCAAAAUCUCAAGGAUAUUAAACAGUACGGUACUUCUCACUUGGUUGCCGUUCGACAGCAGUACUUCGAUCAAAUGCAAAGAAUAAGAGAUUACUCUGCUUCCCAACUGAAUCGAGUAAAUGAAAACUACAUAUUUCAACGUCAAAGACUUCGUAAAUUCAGUGCUCAAAAUUAUUUAAAAAUACGAGAAACAAGGAAGUCUACCCAAAAAACAGUUACGAAAGUAAUGGAUAAUCUGCCUGCUCUCUAUUUGGAUUUGUCAGCUUGUCGACAAGGUCUAGGUGAUAGAAGAGAUUCAAUAGCUGUUGAUACAGAUGAUCUAAAUAUGAUUCAAUGUUUGGAACUUGGUGCCUUUCCCGAUGAAAUGACUCCUGAAUCAUCUCUCUAUUUCACACCGUCUAGCACACCCAUUAGACCUUUUCCUAUUAACUCCUUUGACUUUAAAGAAAGAAAUCCAUAUAAGGAUGUCUAUUCUAACUCUUCCUCUGAAACACCAAAGCGAUAUAGAUUCAAGAGCAAAAGCUUUAGUAAUUUCUUACCUCUCUGGAAAAAUAAUGGGAGCAAUUCACUUCCAGGAAAUACUGCUGAAACUAAAGUGGUUGUUGAAAAAGAGAAUCAUGAUGAUGACUAUAUAUCCGUUCCGACCGAAGAGGAUAAACAUACGAGCGAUAAUGAAGAAUAUUCUUCAAUUAAAUCUGUUGAUGGAGAGUCCAACCCCUAAUUAGUCUAUUUUUGUCAACAAUAUUUAGUUUUUUGGUUACUUAGUCAUGUUAUUUAAAAAAAAAACCUACUUUGGUUUUAUUUUGGUCCAAAGCAUUUUAAGAAUGAAUGUCGUCCUGGGUUCGAAGAAAAAACAGCUAUGAUAGAGGAAAAAGCCUUAAAGUAGAAUAGUUGUAUUUCUAGAAUCAUUCAUUUGUUGAAACUGUCACAUAAACUAUUAUAAUUAGGUUAAUUUUGUAUUUUAUAAUAAUAAUACUAUAAUUACAGGAGGGUUGGAAGGUCUAUAGAGGGAGAGCAAAUUUAAUUCAUUGCAGGAUAUAUGUAAAUAUAACAGGAAUUCGACUUUUUGGCUUUAAAAAAGUAAUUUUUUUUUUUGUAGAUGCCCUGUUUUACAUAAAUCUAUUUUCUACUUAACCGUAUUUGCAGGGCGGAUAAUUAUUAUUGCCUCUAUUUCUGUAGACUUUUUAAUAUUUUGAAGUUGUGAACAUAUUUAAUAUGAUUUCAGAUUUGAGCGUUCAAUUAAUUAUUGGUGGCGCUUAAGUAUAUAAAAUAAUAAACCACAUAAAUAAACAUGAUUCACCUUUUAUCUAAUUUGUGUUUAAUUAAUUAAUGUAGUUAGGGGUGCAGCGUAAGGAGGAAUAGGGAGAUAUAUUCACAGCUUCGGACUCGUCUAAAUUUAGUGCGAGUCCUUCCUUUUGUUUUAUAUUAUUUAUAAAAGUUAAUUAACUCUGGCUCAAGAGAACUGGUCAAAAUUUUCGCCUUAGCUCAAAAAAAAAUAGCAUUGAAGGAUACAAUCAUCAAUUUCGAUAAUUGGGUUCGACUCCGAAGAAAAACAGCCUUUGACGACAUUAACAAAGAUCCUUCCAUGCCUUCCUCGGACGUUUGUGCUCUUGCGUACACAAUAAUGCCAAUGCCAUCCUCACAUGUGAAUGUCGAAGGAUUGUUCUCUGCUAUCAAGUUCAUUUUAAUGACCAGAGGGAUUCAAUGAGGGAAGAUCUUCUGAAUGUAAUCCUUUACUUAAGAGGAAACUGGUAUAUAUAUGAACACUUAUUGGUUGUUUUUUCUUAAAUAGUAUUUUAAAUAUAAACAAUCGAAACGAAAA